GGUUGUGGCUCAGUGGUAGAACGCUCGCCUAGCAAUGAGAGGCCCUGGGUUCGAUCCUCAGCACCA
rnacentral:tRNA from 1 species